GCUCAGUCAGUUAAGUGUCUGAUUCUUGAUCUCAGUUCAGGUCUUGAUCUCAGGGUUGUGGGUUCAAGUCCCACAUUGAGCU
rnacentral:tRNA from 1 species